CCUACGGGAGGCAGCAGUGAGGAAUAUUGGUCAAUGGACGAGAGUCUGAACCAGCCAAGUAGCGUGAAGGAUGACUGCCCUAUGGGUUGUAAACUUCUUUUAUAAAGGAAUAAAACGAGGCACGUGUGCCUUUUUGCAUGUACUUUAUGAAUAAGGAUCGGCUAACUCCGUGCCAGCAGCCGCGGUAAUACGGAGGAUCCGAGCGUUAUCCGGAUUUAUUGGGUUUAAAGGGAGCGUAGAUGGGUUGUUAAGUCAGUUGUGAAAGUUUGCGGCUCAACCGUAAAAUUGCAAGUGAUACUGGCAGUCUAGAGUACAGUUGAGGUAGGCGGAAUUCGUGGUGUAGCGGUGAAAUGCUUAGAUAUCACGAAGAACCCCGAUUGCGAAGGCAGCUUACUAAACUGUGACUGACAUUGAUGCUCGAAAGUGUGGGUAUCAAACAGGAUUAGAUACCCUAGUAGUC
rnacentral:rRNA from 1 species